AGAUCUUCUAGGAUGAGGUCUGAAAAGUUGUGCCUCCGACCAGAUCCUGACUCCCGACCAGUACAGCAGUAGCAUCGGCUCGUGUGAUCCACACACGUCGAACACACAGUUGAUGGGUAGAUCCACUUGCAGGCAGCAGGGCACCUGCCACCGUCUGGUUUUUUUAUCCCUUCAAGCGGAAACCUUCCCCGUCGAUAAGAAAAGCCUUCAAACGGCGUCUUUUGUGGUGCAGUCUAGUGCAGUGACAGUUGGUGAUAAGACACACAGUGACAGCCGCGCAGGGCGAUAGAUGCUGCACUUGCAGUGAGUUCAAAGGGCGGUGAAAAUUGAUGUGCUUUUCCCAAGGGCAAACGAUGAACGCGAACAGACUCUGAUUUCCAGUUCGAACCUAGAGGUAGUGAUAUUAUGGCGCAUCGUAAGAACGUUAAAUCUACAUUUAUUGGAUAUCAGGACGUGGGUAGCAGCUAACAAAUGCUGGAUUGGCAUUCGAGGCACGUCCCCCUAUUCCAAAGUGCAGCACCGUAUAUACCAAACCAUAAUCAACAGGAGAAGACGGUUAUUUUUACCAGAUUUCCGAAGCACGUACAGCAGUAACCUGCUAGUCAGACUGGAAACGUGUUCCAGCGGCGGGUCCGGUCGGGUCCAUGAAAUAAUCAAACUAGCACAUUGGAGCAGCGGAAGCAGCCAUUGAAAAUGAAAGUGCUGUGCGGCAAGUUCCACUCCACGAAGGAAUCAACAGGUGUCAAUACAUAGUGUACAAACGGAAUAAUUUAUUAAUGGUAAUUUAAAAGCGUUGAUAACUAAUGCUAUUCAGUAGGAGAAAAAAUGGAAAAGGUUCACAGAAAAAGGUGAGAGAUUACAGCAGCCGACAAACGACAAACCCCAACUCAC